rnacentral:lncRNA from 1 species
UUUGAAAAUUUAUAUAUAAACACAAGCAUUGCUAAGCUAAGACACCCCUAAAUCAAUAAAACCAACCCUAAGUUUGUGCACAAGUGAAUCAGACUAUACGAUACACAAAACCAAACCCUAUCUGGCCUCGAGAGCCCAGGCACGUCCAAAUUCAGAAUCAAAAGAUCAGACUCAAAGUCAAGUCUAGAUUAGCACCAAAAAUCUACUAUAUGACACAUUGAUUCUUUAAAAUCCCCUUCUAAUUACACAUUCCCUUUUAACUACAAUAACUUAACAACAUGAUCUAAAAGUAACCUAUCAGCUUUAGCACAUGGUAAUCAUUCAUCAUAUCCAACCCUAAGUUUGUGCACAACUGAAUCAGACUAUAUGAUACACAAAAGAAAACACAAUCUGCGAUCGAUGGCCCAGGUACAUCCACAUUCAGAAUCAAAAGAUCAUACUCGAAGUCAAGUCAAUAUUAGUUACCAAAUCUGCUUUACGGCACAUUGAUUCUUCAUAAUCCCCUUCUAAUUACACAUUCCUUUUAACUACAAUAACUUAACAACACUAUCUAAAAGUAACCUAACAGCUUUAGCACAUGGCAAUCAUUCAUCCUUUCAUUACGUAAUUAACCAAUUUGACCCAAAGUUUGUGACAAAAUCCACAUUAAACAUGUUGAGGAAAACAAUUGAUAAUACAGGCUAAAAAUGAGUUAAACAUGAAAGUAAGAUCUUCAUUUCUCUUCCAUUAAUCACCUCAUGAUCUGUUUACAUGCUUAAGUCAAGGACAUAUACCUGGAGAUUGAAAUAGACAAGGAAAUGUGAGAGGUCAGUUGAGUAACAGCAGAAUUUGAUAUCAGCAACAACACAACCCAAAUUCAACGAUUGAAACAAGGAAAACUAGCUUGAAACUUCAAUGGAAUAGUGACCCUUGACAACUUGAAAAUGAAAACUUAUUCCAAACUCCAUAUCACUCCCAAUGAAUUCUCAGAAUAACCAAAAAUUGUGUCUAGCAUUAAAAACUCCAGAAAUUGACUAUGAAAUGAAAAAGAUCAAAUGGAACAGUACCCAAAACUCUUAGUUGUUUCAUUUUCUCAUUUUUAUUACUAUCAAAAUCUCUAUUAUAUUUCAAAAAUUGAAGGAAAAGAUACAAAACACUCCAAUGCUAUCAAACAGUGAAUUUUGUUUUGAAUUUUGUUUGGAUUUCCAGCCGUUUGAAUUUCUCAGAUUUUUUCUCCUCCCCUCAAAAUUCAGCUAGUGGGGCCUUUAUAGGAAGGUGUUAGGGAAAUAAUGAAGGGUUCAAAAUUUGCUUGUUAAUCCAUUCCUCCAAUUUUCAGUUUUGCUAUUGUGACCCUAAUGUUAAAAUCAAAUGUUCAUUUUAAUCCCCAACCCCAACUUCCUAGAAGCUUCCCUAGGUAGUUAUAAAAGAUUUCCCUUACCCAAUUACCUAGACUACCCUCACACAUCCUUGUUAUUAUACUCCCAGCCCAAUUUUUACUGCUGAAAUCUACAACCAGUUGUGGAUCACUUUUGAACCAAUGGUUCAGGCCUAUCAACCUUGAACCCAAAGCCUAAACCAAAAAUCAAAAUACCCAAAUGGCUAAUCCGAAUGAUAAGCAAUCGCAUAAGCCCUAAAUGUGAGCUAACCAUGAACUUUCUUUUAAGCUAAACACCAAAUCGGGAUUAAAACCACAUUAAUCGCAUUAAAUAAAAUCCAAUUCAAACCAACUAAUAGAAAAUUCCAUAAUCUUAAAAUAAAAUUAAGAGAAAAAAAGAACAACGAAUGGUAACUUGCAAAGAAAAACUGAAAGAUUAACAGAAUGGCCUCUAAAAUGGCUUAAAAGGAACAGCCGAGUUCAGAACUUUCAAAUAAACUCACACAGAAGGCAAGCCUUUCCAAUAUCACAAAAGAAGAAGGGAGGGAACAGAAAAGACAAGAAAUGGGCAAAGAAAGAAAGAGAACUCACCUAGAAACUCAAACUCGCGACUGACUUUCGAUUUAAAUUGCGAAAAAAUAUUAAUUGUCUGUUCUUUUUAAAGAAAAAGUGAAUAAUAUUGUUCCAUGAUAACAUUGGCCUCAGAUGCUCAUAAAUACCGGAGAGAUGGUUAGCAUGAAUGAUCUUGCCUUUGACUUCUAAAGAUCGAACCCUAUAUUGGGAAUUUGGGCAGUCUCAUUAGGAUUCUUGGGAAAUAAACAUGAGGAUAGGAUAUAAGGUGGACCGGAGGUUGUAUGGUAAGAUUUUGGCGCGAUUUGGAGCUGGAACACCGAUGAUAAUGGUGGGCUGGGGUUCAAGGUGAGGGAGAUGAAGUACAUAUGGGCUUUGGGUGAACUGAAUAGUCUCUGAAAUGUCAGACACUAUUAUGAAAUUGAAGAGAUAGUUCCAAGAUCAUCCGAUCAUCAAAGAUCAAUGGCCAGAUUUUCUGGACUCGAAGCAACACCAUUUGGCUGUAAAAGGAGAAUUGCACCGGGUAGUUUAGACCGUUUUCAGGGAGGGGAGUACAUUCGGC